CUCGGCGAACUGGUCAGUAAUACGUAGUCAACCUAACCUGAGCUUGGGGAUAAUCCCGGGAAACUGGGGCUAAUAUCCGAUAAACAUUUCUUGCUGGAAUGCUGAAAUGCCCAAAGCUACGGCGGCUCAGGAUGGGACUGCGGCCUAUCAGGCUGUUGUUGGUGUAAUGAACCAACAAACCGAUAACAGGUACGGGCUAUGGAAGUAGGAGCCCGGAGAUGGAUUCUGAGACAUGAAUCCAGGUACUACGGUAUGCAGCAGGCGAGAAACCUUUUCAAUCUGCUACCGCAGGAAAAGGGAACCUAGAGUGUUCUGCUUUGCAAAACUUUUGCCUUCUGUAAACGGGAAGGUGAAUAAGGGGUGGGUAAGACGGGUGCCAGCCGCCGCGGUAAUACCCGCACCCCAAGUGAUAGCCACGGUUAUUGGGUCUAAAGCGUCCGUAGCCGAUUUAGCAAGUCCCUAGUGAAAUCUUCCAGCAAACUGGGAGGCUGCUAGGGAUACUGUUAGAAUCGAGACCGGGAGAGGGUAGGGGUACUCUCAGGGUAGGGGUGAAAUCCUGUAAUCCUGAGGGGACCACCUGUGGCGAAGGCGCCUACCUGGAACGGGUCUGACGGUGAGGGACGAAAGCUAGGGGAGCGAUCGGGAUUAGAUACCCCGGUAGUCCUAGCCGUAAACUUUGCCCUCUUGGUGUUGCAAGCUUCUCGGGAGCUUGCAGUGCCGGAGCGUAGGUGUUAAGAGGGCCACCUGGGACGACCGCAAGGUUGAACUU
rnacentral:rRNA from 1 species